rnacentral:rRNA from 1 species
UACGAAGGGGGCUAGCGUUGCUCGGAAUCACUGGGCGUAAAGGGUGCGUAGGCGGGUCUUUAAGUCAGGGGUGAAAUCCUGGAGCUCAACUCCAGAACUGCCUUUGAUACUGAGGAUCUUGAGUUCGGGAGAGGUGAGUGGAACUGCGAGUGUAGAGGUGAAAUUCGUAGAUAUUCGCAAGAACACCAGUGGCGAAGGCGGUUGCCUGGAGCUUUGCUGACGCUGAUGCGCGAAAGCAUGGGGAGCGAACAGG